rnacentral:rRNA from 1 species
UACGUAGGGUGCGAGCGUUGUCCGGAAUUAUUGGGCGUAAAGAGCUCGUAGGCGGUCUGUCGCGUCGGUCGUGAAAACUUGGGGGCUUAACCCUGAGCUUGCGGUCGAUACGGGCAUGACUGGAGUUCGGCAGGGGAGACUGGAAUUCCUGGUGUAGCGGUGAAAUGCGCAGAUAUCAGGAGGAACACCGGUGGCGAAGGCGGUUCUCUGGGCCUGACCUGACGCUGAGGAGCGAAAGCGUGGGGAGCGAACAGG